rnacentral:rRNA from 1 species
UACGAAGGAUGCAAGCGUUAUCCGGAUUUAUUGGGUUUAAAGGGUGCGUAGGCGGACUUAUAAGUCAGUGGUGAAAUCUCGUUGCUUAACAACGAACGUGCCAUUGAUACUGUAGGUCUUGAGUACAGAUGCCGUUGGCGGAAUGUGUCAUGUAGCGGUGAAAUGCAUAGAUAUGACACAGAACACCGAUUGCGAAGGCAGCUGACGAAACUGUAACUGACGCUGAGGCACGAAGGCGUGGGGAUCAAACAGG